rnacentral:sRNA from 1 species
UUAUGGAUUGUUUUUUGGAUUUUACAGAGAAGUCUUGGGAAAAUGAGUCGUGGAGGUGCAGCUGUUGCCAAGGGAAAGAAGAAGGGAGUUUCCUUCACCAUUGAUUGUUCAAAGCCUGUCGAUGACAAGAUCAUGGAGAUUGCUUCCCUUGAGAAGUUUCUUCAGGAGAGGAUCAAGGUCGGUGGCAAAGCUGGUGCACUUGGUGAUUCUGUCACA